CUAAAAGCAAAAGAAUUGUGUGGAGUUAGAAAACAGUUUUGCAAGAAUGGUGGAUAAAAUAGUAGUAGUGGGAGUCGAUUAAACAAAACGAUUUUUCCAAGGUAUUAAACCACCACUCAACAAUUUGUUUCUUUCAAAGACUAAAACCCAAAAGAAAGAAGUUGUGUGCAGGCAAUUAUACUGAAUGAAAGGAGGAAUUAUGCAAAGAGAAGACAGAAUGCAACAUCCUCAAGAUGUGAUCAUAACGAGUCGAUGAUCAAAGGCAUACCUGGGAAGGAAACUUUUGAAGUCCUUUUGCUUAAUCUGGCGUCAAUAUUUUGGGAACUAUGAUUUUGAAGAUAAGAGUUUAGCUAAUUAUAGACAUGUUUUGUUUACGCUCCUCAAUAACAGCAACCCUAAUUGUAUAAGUAUGGAUCUUGUGGCUUGUACUUCAAGUAAUUUGUUGAAGACUCUUAUGUAUCUAUAUAUGUAGUGGUUAAUCAUGUAAUUUAAGAGUAUUUGUUUGAAA